rnacentral:lncRNA from 1 species
AUUUGCCAACCACCAGACCAGGCUGCUCAGAGCAACAUCCAGCCUGGCCUUGAAUGCAUCCAGAGAUGGGGCAUCCAGAUUUAGGAUCUGCCUUAUAAUAGAUUUGUCCAAUUAGGCUAUCUUACAGCAGAGCAAAAACUUUCAAAGAUUUUUCAUCUGAAAAGACUUUGAGAUGGUAUAUUUAGGACAUACAGUACCCAAGGUGAUAAGGAAGGUUUAAUGGCCAUCAUGCUCUUUGCAGUUGAAUCCAGAGCUGGUGCUUGGAUCUGGAAACCUGAGAGCCUCUUGUCAUAGUGAAGAGUUGGCAGAAGUUGAGUGAGGUAGCAAGUUGCCCUGAAAUGGGCUUGGACACUUGUGUGUGGCUAUGUGCUGUAAUGUCAGAGCAGCAAUGAACACGAGCAUCCCAAUUGCAGACCAGAUUGCUUCUAGAGAAGUCACUGGAGAGAAAACCAUGGACUGGUGAGCAGCUUUGACCCAAGGCUUUCCCAUGUCACAUCACAAUUUUCUGAGUUUGCCUGGAGUAACAAGACACUGGAUGGUAAAGGAAAUGAAUCCUUCAUAUGUUGUCUGAGCCCAGCAGGGAAACAGAAAUGCUUUCCAAAAAGAGAAAAGAAAGAAAAAUCGUUUUGUGUUUGCAGUCUGCUUGUGUGUUGCUUGGAGAAAAUCAGCACAUCUGAAAAGGCAGCAUCUGGUAAGGAAAGCAUGGAUGCAGCAGAAUAG